GACAGAGGGGGCAAGCGUUGCUCGGAAUUACUGGGCGUAAAGGGCGCGUAGGCGGGAUGGCAAGUCGGUCGUGAAAUCCCUCGGCUCAACCGAGGAACGUCGAUCGAUACUGCUGUUCUUGAGGAUUGCAGAGGAGACUGGAAUUCCCGGUGUAGCGGUGAAAUGUGGUAGAGAUCGGGAGGAACACCGGUGGCGAAGGCGGCAUCCUGGACCGAGAUUGACGCUGAUGGCGCGAAAGCCAGGGGAGCAAACGGG
rnacentral:rRNA from 1 species